rnacentral:lncRNA from 1 species
CUCCAGCCACCGUGUUGGGUGUCUCACCCUGUCCAACCCCUGAUCUUUAUUGUGGACCAGGCUAUAGACAGAUCUUUGUCAGCUGCCCCUGCUGAAGAGGACUGGCCUUUCAGUGGCCCUCGUGGAACGGUAGGAAGCUGAGCUGGACUCUCUGCCACAUCGUUCGGUUCCCACAACAGCCUGAAAUGGGGUCUUGCCUUGUUGCCCAGGCUGGAGUGCAGCAACGUGAUCAUAGUUUACUGUAGCCUGGGCUCAACUCCUGGGCUCCAGUGAUCCUCCCGCCUCAGCCUCACAAGUAGCUGGGACCAUAGGUGUGAGCCACUGUGUUUGGCUGUAAUCGUUGUUAUUGUAGGCGCAUGUGCAUGAGGACCCUCCCUUCUUAGGCUCCUGACUCUACUUUGCUUGGGUUUGAAACAAGUGACUCCAUCUUGAAAUGGACAACUGGCACAGAAUAGAGCAUUUCAAGGGCAGAUUAGAUGGCAACUUAAAAAAAAGGUAAAGAAAAAUUAAAGAAAAAAUUAAAGGUAAGGAAAAAUUUACACUUUCUAGGAACUUCACGAAGGAAGGGAAACAUGAGACAAAGAAAGAGAAGUGGUUAUCAGAAACUAAACUGCACGAGGCUUGUGAGGUUUCUCAUGUUCCUCCUGGAACUUCCUCCUAGACUGUAUUCUGCCAUCUGCUCUGGGGUCACGAGGGAAAGGGCCCCUCUCCUUUCAUGGCCUAGAAAGCGUGGCUCUGAGCCAUUCUUUGGGCUGAGGUGGGUGUCUGGGGUGCUGGUGGGGACAGCCAGGCCCUGCCUUCCUGGGUACCUCUUGCUGCUUGUCAACAGACCCUGCCCUCCAUACUGUGAGGGAUUGAAGGAUUAACUCCAAUUCUUUCCUGUCCUCCAUUCAUACCCAUGCCAUUGCUCAUCUUGGGCGGACUGUAUUUCCCUGCCCAUUGAGUUUCGGUUUGGUCUUGUGACUUGCUUUGGCCACUAGAAUGGGGCAAAGUGAGAGGGUUCCCGUUCUCAGCCUGCCCCUUGUAAGACCCUGCAGGCUUCUGCUGGCCUCCUGGGUUUCUGCCCUUGCCUGGGGGCUUUCCCUGGGUGGUUUCGGUUCCUUCUACUUGGUACCUGAAAUGAAGACAUGUGGGACAAAGCCACUCCAGCUGACCUAGAGAUCAACAAGAUGAAGCCAGUAGACCCACAGAUGACUGAGAAAUGUGUUUAUUGCUGUAUCUGUGCCAUGUCGAUUUUUGUGGUUGUUUGCUGUAUGUCACUAUUUUGGCAAUAGCUAUAUAUUCCCUUUUCCUUCUUCUCUGUGCUCUGGUCUGAAUUAAUGCCUCUUUGUUUCAUCUCAUUUCCCAUUGCUUUUCACUUUAUUAUAAAAGCACUGCAAUUUAUACAUUGAAGCAGAAAAGAAGGGUGGAAUCCCCAUAAUUCCAUACCCUUCUGUGAAUACACUGGUGUCCAGACUGUUGGAAUAUAUUCAUUUAUUCUCUCUUCAUAUGUACAUUUAAAAGAUGAAUCAAUUCUUUUUUUUUUAAAAGCAAAUUGUUUCAUUUAACAAUACAUGGUAAAUAUACUUGGUGUUAGUGCUGUCUUCAGGGUUCCGUGGAGCGUUUUACAGUCUUCUUUUUAGCACCCUCCUAAAGAUGUUGAAGGAGGUGGGUGAUGGGGUUGCCUGACUCCUUCACCAGGAGCAUCCUCACAUCCAUCUCUUUCACACAUUGGGGUUUCACAUGCGCGUUUAUUUGCAAAACAGGGCUCUGCUACAAAAAUCACCAGUUGAAAAUCACCAAUCUAAAAACUGCUUUUUAUGUGUUUUAAUGAUAUACCAUGCAACAUUAUUAUAACCAAUCCCUUAUUUGAAAAUUUAGGUUGUUUUGGGUUUUAUAAUUAAAAUCACAUGCUUAUGGCAUAUAUUUGUGUAUACUCUUAAUUAUUUCCUUACAAUAAAUUAUUAGAAGUGGACAUAUAAUUUCUAUAAGUGUAGGUAUAAAAUCCUGGCAGUAGAAUUUCUAAAAGUGGAAAGCAUAUGUUCAUGUAAAGGCUGCUAAAUUGCCAAAAUACCCUCCCAAAACCUUAUCAGUUACUCUUCCACUGGCAGUGAUGCCAGGUAGAACCUCUGACUGUUUGGCAAAUGAAUGUUUGUAUCUUGUGGCUUUAAAUUACUGUUCUUUACUAAUUAAAUGAGGCUAUUUCUUCAUAUAGUUAUUACCAUUUGCAUAUCUUGUCUUGUGAAUUUUUUGUUUAUGUGCUUUGAGCAUUUUUUUUGACUAGGAUGUCAUCUUUUUCUCAUUGAUUUAUAAUACCACUUAUAUAUGCUAUGUUAGAAAGAAUGCUGGAUUAUAAUUUGAUGUAUUAAGAUGGUCUGGCUGGCAUUACAGAUUAGUAGAGAGUAGAGGAUGAAAUAUCCAAUAAGCAGUGCUAGGACAACUAAUUAUUUAUAUGAAAAAAUAAAAUUUUAUAUAUAUAAUUUUUUAAAUUAUAAAUUUUAUAAUUAUAAAUUAUAAAAAUAAGAACACUCUGUUGCUCAGGCUGGAGUGCAGUGGUGCGGUCUUGGCUCACUGCAACCUCCACCUCCCAGGUUCAAGUGAUUCUCCCGGCUCAGCCUCUCGAGUAGCUGGUAGGUGAGCCCCACCAUGCCCCCACUAAUUUUUUGUAUAGAGAUGGGGUUUCACCCUGUUGGCCAGGCUGAUCUCGAACUCCUGACCUCAAGUGAUUCACCCACCUCGGCCUCCCAAAGUGCUUGGAUUACAGGCGUGAGCCUCCGGGCCGGUCAUAAAAUUACAUUUUUAUCUCACUCUAUUCACAAAAAAUUCCACUGUGAAAAAAAAUAAAGCUUCCAGAAGAAAUAUGAGGAAGAUUUUCCAGUUUUUAAGGUACACAAAAAAAGCACAAAUCAUAAGAGAAAAUAUUGAUAAUUUUGACCAGAUCAAAGUUCUGUAUAAUAGAAGACAUUAUAAACUACAUCAAAAUACAAGCCACAGACUUUGAAAAGACACCUGCAAAGCAUAAAAUAGUGAAUUAUUAGUACAGAUGCUCCUUGAUUUACGAAGGGAUUAUGUCCUGAUAAAUUCAUUGUAAGUUGAAAAUAUAAAUGGAAAAGGCAUUUAAUAUAUCUAACCUAUGGAACAUCAUAGCUUAGCCUAGCCUACCUUAAACAUGCUCAGAACAACCACCCGAGCCUAUAGUUGGGCAAUAGUCAUCUAACACAAAGCCUAUUUUAUAAUAAAGUAUUGAAAAAUCUCAUGGAAUUUAUGAAAUACUGUGGAGCGUUAUGAGAAAGUAUUGUACUGCGUAUUGCUAGUCUGGAAAAAGAUCAAAAUUCAAAAUGCAAAGUACAGUUUCUACUAAAUGCAUAUCGCUCUCUACUAUUGUAAAGUUGAACAAUUGUAAGUCAAACAAUCCUAAGUGUAAGUCAGGGACUAUUUGUACAUAGAACAUAGAAAAAUGGAUGUGGUGUCUCACACCUAUAAUCCCAGCACUCUGGGAGGCCGAGGUGGGAGGACUGCUUGAGCUCAGGAGUUUGAGAUCAGCCUGGGCAACAUGGCGAAAGCCCAUCUUACAAAAAAAUACAAAAAUUAGCUGAGCAUGGUGGUGCAAGCCUGUAGUCACAGCUACCUGGGAGAUUGAGUUGAGAGGAUCACCUGAGCCCAAGAGGCCGAGGCUGCAAAGAUCCGAGAUUGCACUACUGCACACUAGCCUGGGCAACAGAAUGAGAUCUUGUCUCAAAAAUAAAAAAGAAGAACAUAUAAAAAUGUGGAACAUAAAAUAUAGGAUAUAAGAAACAUACAGCAUAUCAAAUGCCUAUAACUUAAUAAGGAAUGUGCAGACAACCCAAUAAAAAAUUGGGCAAAGGAUAUGAACAGGCAAGACACAGAAGACAUUUAAACAUUUAAAGCAUGCUCAGCCUCACAGCUAAUCAAACAAUCUGAUACCAUCUCACACCCACCAGUCUGGCAAUAAAGUCUGAUAAUACCAGCUAUUGGUGAAGAUGUAGAGAAAUGAUAACUAUCAACCACUGUCAAACACAAAUGUAAGUUUUUAUAAACAGGACAGCAAUGUGAUGAUAUCCAGUGAAUUUAAAAAUGUGCAUUCCCUAGGACAAAGAAAUUUAACUUUACAGUAUAGACUCCAGGGGAGCUCUCAUCUGUAUUUGUGUUAAUUGUAACCUUAUUUGUAGUAGGAAAAAUUGGAAGCAGCCUGUAGGUUCAUCACUGGAAGGGUAUAUAAAGGGCUACAGCUGUAUCUGAAAUAUUUUCACUUAAAAAAUCUGGAGCAAAAAUGACAAACUGCUUAGACUUAAUGAGCUGGGUGUUGAGUACACGGGUUAUUUUCCAUGCUUGUUCACACACUGUGCAAUACCUUGUUUUAAAAAGAUGAUAUUGUAUUAGGAACCCAGGAAUACCCUGAUCCAGCUCCAGACCACAGUCAAUCCUCCUUAUUUUGUCUAGGCUGACCCUGGGGCUGGAAUCUGUGGCACCUUCAAAAAGAGUGAUGUGGAGGGUAGAAAGAAGCGUCACCUGUGGCAGGAAUUGCAGAGCAGUAAGGAAAAUGGGCAUAGGGAAAUCUCAUUUGUUUUAUGACAGUUUUGAGAUAUAAUUCACAUGCCACAAAAUUCAACCAUUUAAAGUGUACAAGUCAAUAGUUUUUAGUAUAUUCACAGAUAUGUGCAACCCAGCACCACAGUCAGCCUCAUAACAUUUCUAUCGCCUUGUAUAGAAACUCUGUACUUUAAGGAUCACUCUUCAUCCUCCCAUCUCCUCCCAGCUCUAAGCAACCACUCAUCUACUUUCUGUCUCUAUAGGUUUGACUAAUCUGAACAUUUGAAGUAAGUGGAAUCAUAUAAUAGGUGGCCUAAUGUUUUCAAGGUUCAUCCAUGUUGGAUCAUGUAUCAGUACUUCAUCCCUUUUUAGGGCCAAAUAAUAUCCUCUUGUAUGGAAAUACUGCAUUUUGUUUAUCCAUUUAUCAGUUGACGUUGAGUUGUUUCCACUUUUUGCCUAUUAUAAAUAAUGCUGCUACAAACAUGCAUGUACUACUUUUUGAGUAGACAUGUUUUCCUUUUUUGGGUAAAUACGUAGGAAUGUCAUUGCUGGAUCAUUUGAUUAUGUUUCACCAUAUGAGGAACUGCUAGACUGUUUUCCAAAGUGACUGCACAAUUUUACAUUCCCACCAGUGAUGUAUGAAGAUUCCAAUUUCUCCACAUUCUCACCUCUUCCACAUUCUCCUGAUCCUCACUCUCUUGUUAUCUGACUUUCUGAUUACAGCCAUGCUUGUGGGUAUGAAGUCGUGUUCUCUUUUGGUUUUGAUUUGCAUUUCCUUUAUGACUAAUGAUGUUACACAUCUUUUCAUGUGCUUCUUGGCUAUUUGUGGGACUUCUUUGGAGAAAUGACUAUCCAUAUCAUUUUCCCAUUUUAAAAAAUUGGGUAAUUUGUCUUUUUAUUAUUGAGUCAUAACAUUUCUUUAUAUAGUCUAGAGACAAGUUCCUUAUGAGAUAUGUGAUUUUCAAAUGUUUCUCUCAUUCCGUGGUUUGUAUUUUCACUUUUUAAGUAGUGUCUUUUGAAGUACAAAAGUUCUGAUUUUGAUAAAGCCCAAUUUAUCUAUUUUUUCUUUUGUUGCUCAUGCUUUUGAUGUCAUAUCUAAGAACCUAUUGUCAAAUCCAAUCAUGAAGAUUUGCGACCAUGUUUUCUAAAAGUUGUAUAGUUUUAGCUCUUAUGUUUAGGUCUUUGAUCCAUCUUGAGUUAAUUUUUGUAUAUGGUGUGAAGCGAGAGUUCAAUGUCAUUAUUUUAUAUGUGGCUAUCCCAUUAUCUCAGUAUGAUUUGUUGAAAAGACUACGUUUUUCCCCCAUUGAAUGGUUUUGGCACUCUUGUUGAAAAUUAAUUGACCAUAUAUGUGAGGGUUUAUUUCUGGACUCUUAGCUCUAUUUUAUUGAUUUAUAUGUUUAUCCCUAUCUCAGUAUCACACUAUCUAGAUUACUGCUGCUUUGUAGUAAGUUUGGCAAUCAGGAAGUAUGAAUCCUCCAGUUUGUUCUUUUGUCAGAGUAUUUUGGCUAGUCUAGGUCCCUUGAAUUUUUAUAUGAAUUUUAGAAUUAGCUUGUUAACUUCUACAAAGAAGCCACCUGGGAUUCUAAUAGGGCUUUCUUGAAUGUAUAGAUCAAUUUUGGGAGUAUUGCCAUAUUAACAAUCUUAAGUUUUUUGAUCCGUGAAUAUGGUAUAUUUUUCAUUUAUGUAGACCUUUAAUUCUUUCAACUACGUUUUAUAGUCUUUAAAGUAUAAAUUUUAAACUUUUAUUAAAUUUAUUUCUCUUGUUCUUUUUGGUGCUAUUAUAAAUGGAAUUGUUUCAACUUUAUUUUCAGAUUGUGCAUUGUUUUGAGAUAUAAUUGGUUCUGUAUAUUGACCUUGUAUCCUGUAAGCUCGAUGAAAUUACUUAUUAAUUCUAAUAGUUUUAUUUAGUAGAUUCCUUAGGAUUUUCUGUGUAGAAAAUUUCUAUGUAAUUUGUGAAUAGAGAUAGUUUUAUUUCUUCCUUUCAAAUAUGGAUGCCUUUUUUGUGUGUGUGCUUAAUUGCCCUGGCUAGAAUGUCUACUUAAUGCUGAAUAGAUGUGGCAAGAACAGCCAUCCUUGGCUUGUGUCUAAUCUUGAGGGAAAGCAUCCAAUCUUUGACUAUUAAGUAUAAUUUUAUCUGUGUGUUUUUUGGUAGAUUCCUUGUAUCAAAUUGAGGAAGUCUCCUUCCAUUCCUAGUUUAUGAAGUGUUUCAUUACAAAAAAGCAUUAGAUUUUGUCAAAUAUUUGUUCUGUAUCUGUUGAGAUGGUUAUGUGUGUGUAUGUGUGUGUUCUUAAAAGUCUUUUGAUAUGGUGUAGUACAUUAAUUGAUUUUCAGAUGUUAAACCAACCUUGCAUUCCUGGGAUAAUUCCCACUUUUUCAUGGUGUAUAAUUCUUUUUCUAUAUUUAUGGAUUUGGUAUGCUAGCAUUUUGUUGAGGACUUUUGCAUCCACACAUCUAUAUUCAUAAGAGAUAUUUGUUGUUCCCUUCCCUUCCCCUUCUCCUUCUCCUUCUGCUUCCUCUUCCCCUUCCCCUUACCCCUUGCAGGUCUUCAGGAGUGCCUUUCACCAGUCCUUAGUCCUGGCCCACUGGCCUCUUGGGUCUGCCUUUCUUUUCAGCUUCCACAGGGAGCUUGGGGUGUGGGAAUCUGCGCUGAGGCCCCUGUGCUGCCUGCCCAGGAUCCCUGGGGAGCCACUUCUCUCAGGGGUCUCCCAGCACCUUUGCUGUGCUGCUGGGAAGUGGGAUGCGGCCCCUUCUCUCAGGGCUUCCUGGCCUGCCUCUCACUUGCCUUUCUCAUUCCAUCAAGUAUGUGGGUAGCAGGAAGGGGAAACUCUGGGGCCUGAGGGUACCCCCUACCUUCAUCUUCCUGGCCAUGUGUGUUCUCACAUCCCCUCCUCUGGCCAUCUCUCUGAGGCUGAUGCUGUUGGAAACAAGGUCAAGGCGCCUCUCAGGCCUUUUCUUCUUCUGAUUCUAUCCCUCUCUUCCGGCAAAGAGCAGGAGCCUGCUAGUGCCUACAUGGGAGGGCAGGGCCACCAGGGCGACAGUGUUGUGUGUGCGGGUGGAAGCACAGGGAGCUAUCUAUUGUGAUGAACCCCAGCAAGGAGGGAGGAAUGUGGCUACGAGCGAUGCCUGGAUUGCUGCUUGAUUUUUCUAACACUUUCCUACUUCUCGCCUGCAGAUGAAGCAGCAGCAGAAAAAAUGGAAGCCAUUUUGGUUAACGGGUCACAUCUUAGCAGUUGGCAGCGUAAGAAGCGGAAGGAUCCACUGGUCAGAAAUGGAGAUUGAGGAGAAGCUGAGAGCACGGAGGGCUUCAGGGGAGAGCCUGUCCUUUGGAAAAGCGGGCAAUUUGCACUCGUGGUAGAUGAGUGGGGAGGCCGCUCAGUCUCUCUGCCCCUUUGCACAUGCUGCACCCGUUUAGUUUGACGUCGUGGAGAGCUCCUCCAGGCACGGGCUGUGUGAAAGGGUUUAAAAGUUUGGGGGCAUGGCUGGGGGUCCCCGCAUGAGGGGUGCUGUGUAGGCUCCCAUCUUUUCUGCCGGUCAUGCUGGGAGCCAACAGCACCGGCUCCUGACGUGGGGACUUGCCCUGUGCCAUGACGUGGGGACUCGCCCUGUGCCCUGCGCCCCGGUUCCUGCUGGUUCUGUGCCUUCUGGACUCAUUUCCUUUCCAGGGUCCGCAACCGCUUCCGACACAAUCACUAUUUUGGCUGCGGCCACGGCUUCAUUCGCUUCAGCUGCGAGCUUUUCUCAGCGCAGAGAGCACAGGGAAGCUGGGAGGAGUCCGCCUAGAUGGGUAAGGACGGUAUUUUUGGCAGCAGUUCCGGGGACCCUCCCCUGAUCAGCCUGCACUUCCGCCCUGGGUUGAGGGGAGCAUUUCCAGCGAGGGGGCGAAGAGGUGAGAGCAGCUGGGGAGAGCCAGGGGCUGAGGGCCCUUUGCUUUCUGAAGUGUGGCGUCAUCACGGGUGCUGAAGGAGACACAGGGUGGCUGCGUGAUCAGUCUCUGCCCUGGAAUCUCUGUGUUCAGCCCAUGUCAUCUUCUCAGGAGUGAUGGAAGCUCCCACUGGAGAACACUUUCUGGUCUUGAGCCCCCCGAUCUCUUGAUCCCUAUGGCAGUGAGCCCCGACUCUUGCUCUGGUCGCCACUGGAUCAUCUGUGGGUGUUGGCAGGAACCUGAAGGUGUUGGAAGGGGUUGAGGGUAACGCAUAGCCUGUGCUAGAAUAUGUGGGGGAAUGUCCACAGGAGACGGGAUGGAAGAGAGAGAAGAGGACGCCCCUGCUUCCAGGGGCAAGUGGGUACAACCAGAGGACGGGACAAUGUUCCCCUGGAGAAUGGCCCAGGCUCCAUCUAGACCUGGCUGGUCCCAGUCCCAGGCUUGUCCUAGGUCCUUGGCAUCCGUGCUGGUAGCAACCCCAGGGCCACCCUCAGCGUCUCAUGACGUCUACCCUUCUCUGGCCCCUGUAGAAAUUAUGUUCAAGAGAAAACACCCGGGGGGUCACAAUGAUAACAAUAACACCACCACCUGUGCCCCGUGGGUGUGAGGCUGUCAUGGAGAAAGCAGAGCUCCUGAAGGGGCCUCAGCUGAGAAACGGCUAGAAUUUCCUGUGUGGGUUGUGGGGAGUGACUAUGGAAUUCAGAGGCAGAGCGGAAUCUACUUGGGCUGUUGUGGCAGGAACCUAGACUCCAGAGGGACCCUGGUUAGGCUCUCAGAGAAGGGAGCCCCGGAAAGUGAGCCAAGGAACGGGCCUUUGUCCCCAAGGCUGGAGCCACAGGCUCUGUUUCCCUGGCCAGAGGCAAGGGGGGCCCUUUGGGGUCUCAUGGUUCAGGUGGCCUCUUCUUUCUUAGGCCUCUUCCUCCAGAUCCCCACUCCCCCCACGGGGCACAGCCCCAUGUGUGGAGUCGGCCUUGACUCUGCCCUUCAGUCUCCCUGCCCAGAGCCGGCUGCACCGGCUGUCAUUCCCCAGUCCCGCUUCCCGCAGGCCCCUACCCAGAUACUGAUGCUGUGGCACCCACCACCACAUGGGGGACCCUGGGCAAAGCGUUAGUGCUUGACAGACAUUGGGUCCUCCGGUCCCCCUCCAGUGCCAUGAGCUAACAGUUGUAUCCCCAUCACACAGAUGACAAAACUGGGAGGCAGCACGGUUCAUGAGCUUGUGCAAGUUCACACAGGGCGUGAUUGACGGGGCUGGGAUUCAGAUGCAGUUAGGACACUGCCUUAUCUCAGGCUCUGCUGCUCCCCAGACUUCUUGGCCCUGACGCUCCUUUCGAGGUUAUGGAACUCUCUUGAAUGUCUCUGUUGGCUGCAGCCAGCCAAUUAAUUACCCUGCAUGAAUGGGGACUAUGGGUGACAGUUUCCGCUGUCCCAAGUUCUGGCUGAAGUCUCCAUUCUAUUGGGUUAGGGGCCAGAUGCCUGAGGACCUGCAGGAGGCCAGGGCUGCAUGCUGAAUGAGAACUUUACCUGGGCCACCAAGUCCUUCUGAGCACAGGUGCUGCUCCCUGCAGUCAGGACAUGCUGGCCGGGGUCUCUGACCUUCACCUGGAAUGCUCCUGGAAGCCCCUGUGUGACAAUCUCCACCACAGUCAGCUGCAGCCUCACAGGCCUUGUGUCAUUUCCCACUAUAGGACCAGGGAACCAGGCUGACCAGAAGACCUACGAGGAGAAAUAGAAAGCUUGGGAGGUUGAAGUGGAAAGCCAGAAUCUUCCAGAAGCAACAUGACUCUUUUAGGCCUUUGCUGCCAGCUAAGAAGGUGAAGAAAAGUCACCACUGCAAUAAAAAGAGGGCACUUUGUCUUACUUGGCAAUAAACCACCACCAGCAGCAGCAGCAAUAGCAGCACCCCCACCCCCACCAAACCCAAAACAAACAAGAAAAGCAAAAGGAAACCUUCGUUUUCAGUGAGAGGAUUGGCAUGAAGAAUCCUUGGGACACAGGAAUCAAUCAAGACCUUUGGAUGCCCCUGCCUGCUCUGUCUCUAGAAGCCUCAAGCCCAGCAUCCCCAUGCCGACGUGCUCAUCUCUAGCAAAACACCAGCCUCUCAGCCCUCUCUCCAUAAAGGCCACUAGAAAGUACUGUGAUGCCAGGCUGCUCCACAUCCAGGCAGCCUGGGUGACCACUGCCCUUUAUGAGAAUCAGAAAAAGCUGUCUCCCGAGUAGUUGGAAUUACAGGUGCAUGCCACCAUGCCUGGCUAAUUUUUGUAUUUUUAGUAGAGAUGGAGUUUCACUAUGUUGGCCAGGCUGCUCUUGAACUCCUGACCUCAAAUGAUCCACCCGACUCGGCCUCCCAAAGAGCUGGAAUUACAGGAGAAGCUAAACGUUUUAAAAUAAGUAUAUUAUUUCUGAAUUACUAUAACAGACAUGGACUCCAUUUGAACAAGAUACUUAAUUCCAUCAAAAACUUGUCAAAAUAUACAAAUUUAGUCACAAGACACUUUACUACCAUCUACCAAAGCUGUAGUAAACACACACAUUUUCCAUCUUUGAAAUGAAAUAACGUAUAAUAAUGUUUUCCAAAAUAACAAAGAUGUCUGCAGUGAAUAGCACUCCCUUUGAUGUGGCAACUGGGUCAAUCGUGUUAACAACUGUGAAUUCAUCUUUUUAAGAAAUUCUUUUAUUGUUUCUUUUCUUUUCCGCGACAGUCUCACUCGUGUUGCCCCGGCUGGAGUGCAGUGGCGCUAUCUUGGCUCACUGCAGCCUCCGCCUCCCGGGUUCAAGCAAUUCUCAUGCCUCAGCCUCCUGAGUAGCUGGGAUUAUAGGCACGUGCCACCACACCCAGCUAAUUUUUUUGUAUUUUUAGUAGAGACGGGGUUUGACCAUGUUGGUCAGGGUGGUCUCGAAUUCCUGACCUCAGUUGAGCCGCCGGCCUCGGCCUCCCAGGAAGUGCUGGGAUUACAGGCAUGAGCCACCAGGCCCGGCCUUAUUGUUUCUAUUUGUAAUAAAUCUGUUCCCCUUGCUGCUGUCUCUGCGUUAGUUCUCCUCAUUUCUAGCUUGGGUGCUGCAGCAGCCUCUGACCGGUCCUUCUGUCUCCAGCCUGACUGCGUUUUCUCGCACCUGCUGGGCUGUCUUAGGGCCCCGAUGCCGGUGGCGUUUGCCAUUCUCCGUCUGCCUGAGGCGUCCUCCCUCCGUCAUCUGACAGGCAAAUGUUACAGCCCUUCAAGACUUAGGCAUUACCUUUCCCGCGCGGCCUUCCCUUCACUGUGCCUUACAAUCUUCUCCAUGGCAGGACAUAGUGAAACUCCGUCUCUACCACUCCGUCAGUACCUGCCACAGGAAAUGGCGGGUUUACGGAUUUGUUUAUAAGUUUAUUUCCCCAAUUGGUUGUUUUUCCAUCUUGCGGGGUUUACAUCGUCUCCUCCUCACUUGCGUGGCAGCCUGGACGCAUCUCUAUCACAGCACAUUACCUCGUUUCGUGACCACAGCGUAGUCUCUUCCCCAUCCUCAGACUGAGUUAGGGCCCCUUUGAGUCAGGUAUUUGCCUUGCUAAUCUUUGUGCCCUCUGUGUCUAAUACGGUGCUUGGUCCUGGUAGAUUUCUCCUUGCUUGCAUAACAUGUGUCUUCCUGGCUUAUUCGAUUUCUGGAAGUCUAGAACUUCUCCCCAGUGUUUCACCUGCCUGCUGAGUCAGGGCUCUCGGCCCGCUGGGGAGCAUUUUGCUGCACUUGUCAUUAGCCACAAAGCCACUAGGGGGCAGGGAGCCCCCAUCCUGCCUCAGAUCGGUGCCAAACCAGAACCCGGCAGCCUGCCUUCUGCACGGAAAUCAAUUCUCUAGGAGCUGAUUUGCUGAAAGAUCAUUUUGCAAAAUGGUCAACUCAGCAAAUAAUCGACUUGCUGAAUCUUUGAGGAGUUAUUUGCAGCUUCAGUUUUACUUAGAGCAAUCCCUGGAUGCUUAAUAUUUCAUUUAAGAAUGAGUGAGCCUUUUCUUCUCUAUUUUGGGGAAACAGUUUCUUGCUGAGCCUCUGCCUCUGUUAGUACCCCAGCGGGGAUGAACUGCAGUACCUGGCUUCGGGUUUUUGUCUUUUCAUUAUAAUGAGUUGGUUUUAUGUGCGUUGACCUACUGUAAAGGAAGGGUGGGGUUCUUCCAAAAUAGAUCCUCUUUCAAUGAGGAGACAGGUAGAGUGGGACAUGGGAAGGGCUUUGUCAGCUUUCCCCAUCAAGAUGUGUCCUGUGUGUCCCCAAAGCUCUUCUUGAGCCAUCCCAGCAUAACCAGGGUUUCCCUCAGGUUCAUAACAAGGUAGAGCAGUCCUCAAGGCUGGCGCAUGAAGACCAGUCCAGGGGGAGGGUGGAUCCCUCGGGAUGUGAUAGGCUGACAGCAGCUCCCCAAAGCCUGUGGUUUUGACUACUGUAGAGACUUCAUAUCUGAAGCAUGCCCCUCUACUUCAGCCACCCCCACUGCUCCUCCUUCUGCGGGGUCCCUUUGGAAAGCUUAGCACCACCUCAGACAUUUGGAAAACUAACUUGAGCUCCAGUCCCUCGAGGCCCUAGCCUCUGCAUCCUGUGAAGAGGGCCCUGCUGUGCAGAGCGCAGAGGGUCCCGCACUCACUUGGAUGAACCUCUAGGGCAUUCUGCUCAGUCUCAGGAGGGCAGACACUGUGGGACUCCACUCACAUGAGUAUCUGACGUUGCCAAAAAUCAUAGAAACAGGCCGGGUGUGGUGGCUCACACCUGUAAUCCCAGCGCUUUGGGAGGCUGAGGCAGGUGGAUCACUUGAGGUCAGGAGUUCAAGACCAGCCUGGCCAACAUGGUGAAACCCCGUUUCUACUAAAAAUACAAAUAUUAGCCGUGUGUGGUGGCGGGAACCUGUAAUCCCAGCUACUCGGGAGGCUGGGGCAGGAGAAUUGCUUGAACUCGGGAGGUGGAGGUUGCAGUGAGCCGAGAUCACACCAUUGCACUCCAGCCUGGGCGACAGA